UAGCUUUGGCAGCAUGGACCGGAAAACUAGACUGAGCAGAGAAGAUUAACUUGGCCCCUGUGCAAGCAUGACAUAAAAAUCCUUGAAGCACUCCAUAUUUUU